GCUGGGCGUGGUGGCUCAUGCCUAUAAUCUCAGCACUUCAGGAGGCUGAGGCAGGAGGAUUGCUUGAGUCCAGGAGUUUGGGACCAGCCUGGGCAACAUAGCAAGACCCUGCCUCUA
rnacentral:SRP_RNA from 1 species